rnacentral:rRNA from 1 species
AUGGCGACGGAGGCGGAAGAAGACAUCAAGUUCCUGUGGAAGUGGCGCAAGUACCUGCUGCUGCUCGCCACGCUGGUCGCCGGUGUCACCUACGUGGCGGGGCUCAACCCGCCGGGCGGCGUGAGGUCGGAGGAGGCCGACCCUGACCCACCGGCGCCGGCGCCGGUGGUCUACCCGCACCGCGUCGGCGACCCGGUGCUCGCGGCCACCUACUCGGCCAGGUACUCCGCCUUCUUCUACUGCAACGCCGCCGCCUUCGUCGCGUCCCUGGUGGUCAUCAUGUUCCUGCUGGACCGGCGCAUCAGCGGCAGCCGCGUCGGCCUCACCGUGCUCCGCUCCGCCAUGCUGCUCGACCUGCUCGCCCUCAUGGCCUCCUUCGCCGCGGGGAGCUGCCGCGACGUGGUCGCCUCCGUGUACGUCUCCGCGCUCUUCGCGCUCGUCUUCGCCUACGUCGCCAUCCACGUCUGCGUUUCCUCAUCAAGUCCGAGGCGGUUGCUGCUCCGGAAGCUGGCGGACUCCGGCGUCUCGCCGAGCUCCGUUUCCUCCUCUAGUCCGAGAGGGGUGCUGCUCCAGAAGCUGGCGGACUCCGGCGUAGUUUCGCCGGGCUCGGAGGAGGAGAGGCUCAAGCUCAAGGAGCGGCGCAAGUUCCUCCUGCUGCUCGCCACAUUCGCGACGCCGCUGACGUACGGCGCGGGCCUGGCGCCGCCGGGGGGCUUCUGGAGCAAGAGCGUGGACGGGCACAUCGCCGGCGCCCCGCUGCUGCACGACGGCCGGUACAAGAUCCGGUACCACGCCUUCUUCUACGCCAACGCCACGUCCUUCGUGGCGUCCCUCGCCAUCAUCAUGCUGCUGAUGAGCAGGACGCUGAGCCACCUCCUCGCCCGGUCGUACGCGCUGCCGGUGUGCGUCCUGGUGGAGUUGCUCGGCCUCAUGGCCGCCUACGCCGCCGGGAGCUGCAGGAGGGUCGACACCACCGUCUACAUCGUCUCCCUCGCCGGCGCUGUGCUCCUCAACAUCCUGCUGCAGGCCGCCGUCGCGCUGCUCGCCAUGGACACGUUCCACUUCCAACGGUGGCGCAAAGUCAUCUGCGAUGUACUAACCUGCGCCAGCUGCUUGGAUAGGAAAAGGAAAAGGAUGCCGGGUAGUGCUGCUACUAAUGCCACGGCGACGGUCCCGGCCACACCCCCGCAAGGUGUAGAGAGCAAGAACGGCGCUCUCGCAGCAGAGGAGGAGAAGUCGGAGGAGGAGGAGGAAAGGGAGGAGUCGCGGUCGCUACUCCUGCUGCUGGCCACGCUCGCCGCGACGGUGACCUACCAGGCAGGGCUGAGCCCGCCGGGCGGCGUCUGGCAGGAAGGCCAACCGCAUCGCACACCGGGGGACCCGAUUCUCCUCGACAUAAGUCCCAUGAGGUACAAGGCGUUCUACCACUGUAACACGGCGGCGUUGGCGGCAUCGCUGGUCGUCAUCGUCAUCGUGCAGAGCAAGGAGCUGAGCUCGGGCGCCGCCCUCAAGGGCACCGCGCUCAAGACGGCCAUGAUACUGAACCUGUUCGGCCUCAUGGGCGCGUACGCCGCCGGGAGCUGCCGGGACGCCUCCACCACCAUCUACGUCUCUGCCCUGGCCGUCGCCGUCUUCGUCUACUCCAUCGCCAAGGUCGUGGCGUACACGCUUACUGGGCGUAGCAGCUGGCUGAUGGACCGGGUGCACGACAUGUCCGACACGCUUGCAGGGUGGCUCCAGCUCUCGGGCGACAACCAGCCCAAACUGGACCUCGAGAAGAAGCGUAAGUUCUUGCUGCAGCUCGCCAUCCUCGCCGCCACCGUCACGUACCAAACCGGGCUGAACCCGCCGGGCGGGUUCUGGCCGGAGAGCAAGGAGGAGAGGAAGCUCAUCGCCGGGGACCCGAUCCUGCUCGACUACUACUGGAGCAGGUACCAGGUUUUCUUCUACUGCAACGCGACGGGGUUCAUGGCGUCGGUGGCCGUCAUCCUCCUGCUGGUGAACCAGACGCUGUACAAGCAGGUCAUUCGGAGCAACGCGCUCCACGUCUGCAUCGUGGUGGGGCUGCUGGGCCUCAUUGGUGCCUACGCCGCCGGCAGCUGCCGGAAACUACGCACGUCCAUCUACGUCUUCGCGCUCGUGGCCCUGGUGGUCGCCUUCCUCAUCCUGCAGAUCCUGCUUUUCGUGUCAGCAGACCGCUUCCAUUGGUCAGAGCUGCAAUGUCUUCCGACGUGGCUCCGAAGGCUAUUUGAGCCGCUGUCUUCGUCGCCGGCAGGCAGCGACGGCGAGAAUAACAAGAGCAAGCAACACCAAAAAAGCAGCGAGGACUACAUGAAACGCAAGUACCUGAUGCUGCUCGGCAUCCUGGCCGCGAGCGUGACGUACCAGGCGGGUCUCGCGCCUCCGGGCGGCACGUGGGGCGACGACGCGCCGGCGCCGACACGGACGGCGACGGGCAACCCGGUGCUGCUCGACACCCACGGGGCGCGGUACCAGGCCUUCUUCUACUGCAACGCGACGUCGUUCAUGGCGUCCGUCGUGGUGACCAUGCUGCUGCUCCAGCGCACGGUGAAGCGGCGCGGCGCGCCGCUGUGGGCGAUGCAGGCCGCCGUGGUGCUGGACCUGCUGGGGCUGCUGGGCGCGUACGCCGCCGGCAGCUGCAGGAACCUGGAGACGUCCGCGUACGUGAUCGCGGUGGUGGCCGGCGUGGUCGUGUUCGUCACGCUGCACGUGCUGCUGUCGUUCGACGCCGUGGUCACCAGGGCCAAGGAGCUCAGGGUGGUCAGGUACUUGGGGUCGGGAGGGAGCGGUUCCUGA